rnacentral:rRNA from 1 species
UAGGGAAUUUUCGGCAAUGGACGAAAGUCCGACCGAGCAACGCCGCGUGAGUGAAGAAGGUUUUCGGAUCGUAAAACUCUGUUGUUAGAGAAGAACAAGGACGUUAGUAACUGAACGUCCCCUGACGGUAUCUAACCAGAAAGCCACGGCUAACUACGUGCCAGCAGCCGCGGUAAUAUGUAGGUGGCAAGCGUUGUCCGGAUUUAUUGGGGGUAAAGCGAGCGCAGGGGGUUUUUUAGGUCUGAUGUGAAAGCCCCCGGCUCAAACGGGGAGGGUCAUUGGAAACUGGGAGACGUGAGGGGGGAAGGGGAGGGUGGAAUUCCGGGUGUGGCGGUGAAAUGCGUAGGUAUGUGGGGGAACACCAGUGGGGAAGGCGGCACCCUGGACGAAGGCGGACGCGCAGGUGGGAAGGCGGGGGGGGAAAAAAGG